GACGAAGGGAGCGAGCGUUAUCCAUAAUAACUGGGCGUAAAGGGUUCGUAGCUGGUAAUGCAUUGUUGCUAACAAAAGUUCAAAUAAAACUUUGAAAAGUUUAAUAAUACAGCAUAUACUCGAGGAAAACAAAGGUAGGUGGAAGGUUGCAAGAAGGGAUGGUAUCCAGCGAUCUGCAAAGGAAUAUCAAUAAGCAAAGGCGGCUUACUAGUUUUUUACUGACAGUGGGGAACUAAAGUGUGGGUAGCAAACAGG
rnacentral:rRNA from 1 species